rnacentral:rRNA from 1 species
GACGAACGCUGGCGGCGUGCUUAACACAUGCAAGUCGAACGGAAAGGCCCUGCUUUUGUGGGGUGCUCGAGUGGCGAACGGGUGAGUAACACGUGAGUAACCUGCCCUUGACUUUGGGAUAACUUCAGGAAACUGGGGCUAAUACCGGAUAGGAGCUCCUGCUGCAUGGUGGGGGUUGGAAAGUUUCGGCGGUUGGGGAUGGACUCGCGGCUUAUCAGCUUGUUGGUGGGGUAGUGGCUUACCAAGGCUUUGACGGGUAGCCGGCCUGAGAGGGUGACCGGCCACAUUGGGACUGAGAGACGGCCCAGACUCCUACGGGAGGCAGAAGUGGGGAGUAUUGCACAAUGGGCGGGAGCCUGAUGCAGAAACGCCGCGUGCGGGAUGACGGCCUUCGGGUUGUAAACCGCUUUCGCCUGUGACGAAGCGUGAGUGACGGUAAUGGGUAAAGAAGCACCGGCUAACUACGUG